CAGGCCUAACACAUGCAAGUCGAGCGGACCUAUCCUUCGGGAUAGGUUAGCGGCGGACGGGUGAGUAACACGUAGGCAACCUGCCUGUAAGAUCGGGAUAACUACCGGAAACGGUAGCUAAGACCGGAUAGCUGGUUUCUCCGCAUGGGGGAAUCAUGAAACACGGGGCAACCUGUGGCUUACGGAUGGGCCUGCGGCGCAUUAGCUAGUUGGUGGGGUAACGGCCCACCAAGGCGACGAUGCGUAGCCGACCUGAGAGGGUGAUCGGCCACACUGGGACUGAGACACGGCCCAGACUCCUACGGGAGGCAGCAGUAGGGAAUCUUCCGCAAUGGGCGCAAGCCUGACGGAGCAGCGCCGCGUGAGUGAUGAAGGUUUUCGGAUCGUAAAGCUCUGUUGCCAAGGAAGAACGCCUCGGAGAGUAACUGCUCUGAGGGUGACGGUACUUGAGAAGAAAGCCCCGGCUAACUACGUGCCAGCAGCCGCGGUAAUACGUAGGGGGCAAGCGUUGUCCGGAAUUAUUGGGCGUAAAGCGCGCGCAGGCGGUCUUUUAAGUUUGGUGUUUAAGCCCGGGGCUCAACCCCGGUUCGCACUGAAAACUGGGAGACUUGAGUGCAGGAGAGGAAGGCGGAAUUCCACGUGUAGCGGUGAAAUGCGUAGAGAUGUGGAGGAACACCAGUGGCGAAGGCGGCUUUCUGGACUGUAACUGACGCUGAGGCGCGAAAGCGUGUGGAGCAAACAGGAUUAGAU
rnacentral:rRNA from 1 species